rnacentral:rRNA from 1 species
AGAGUUUGAUCAUGGCUCAGGAUGAACGCUGGCGGCGUGCCUAACACAUGCAAGUCGAGCGAUUCUCUUCGGAGAAGAGCGGCGGACGGGUGAGUAACGCGUGGGUAACCUGCCCUGUACACACGGAUAACAUACCGAAAGGUAUGCUAAUACGAGAUAAUAUGCUUUUAUCGCAUGGUAGAAGUAUCAAAGCUCCGGCGGUACAGGAUGGACCCGCGUCUGAUUAGCUAGUUGGUAAGGUAACGGCUUACCAAGGCGACGAUCAGUAGCCGACCUGAGAGGGUGAUCGGCCACAUUGGAACUGAGACACGGUCCAAACUCCUACGGGAGGCAGCAGUGGGGAAUAUUGCACAAUGGGCGAAAGUCUGAUGCAGCAACGCCGCGUGAGCGAUGAAGGCCUUCGGGUCGUAAAGCUCUGUCCUCAAGGAAGAUAAUGACGGUACUUGAGGAGGAAGCCCCGGCUAACUACGUGCCAGCAGCCGCGGUAAUACGUAGGGGGCUAGCGUUAUCCGGAAUUACUGGGCGUAAAGGGUGCGUAGGUGGUUUCUUAAGUCAGAGGUGAAAGGCUACGGCUCAACCGUAGUAAGCCUUUGAAACUGGGAAACUUGAGUGCAGGAGAGGAGAGUGGAAUUCCUAGUGUAGCGGUGAAAUGCGUAGAUAUUAGGAGGAACACCAGUUGCGAAGGCGGCUCUCUGGACUGUAACUGACACUGAGGCACGAAAGCGUGGGGAGCAGACAGGAUUAGAUACCCUGGUAGUCCACGCCGUAAACGAUGAGUACUAGCUGUCGGAGGUUACCCCCUUCGGUGGCGCAGCUAACGCAUUAAGUACUCCGCCUGGGAAGUACGCUCGCAAGAGUGAAACUCAAAGGAAUUGACGG